rnacentral:snRNA from 1 species
ACCGCUUUUCAGUCUUUUGACUGAGAUCUAAAAGCAGUGUGUGUUCUUCUUAGUUUAGUAUCUGAUACGUUCUUUCUCCAAGAACAACAUAUUAAACGAGGGUUUUGGGGCUGGGUUUGUCCACUCCAUGCAUCGGCCUGGUUGUUACAGUACUUCUACGAACGGCGUAUCCCUC